rnacentral:rRNA from 1 species
GGGUCAGUAGGUUGGUCGUGCCACCGGUACGUACUGGUCCCACUGAUUCCUCCUUCCUGAAGAACCGUAAUGCCAUUAAUUUGGUGUUGCGGGGAAACAGGACUGUUACUUUGAAAAAAUUAGAGUGUUUAAAGCAAGCUAACGCUUGAAUACAUUAGCAUGGAAUAAUGAAAUAGGACGAUCGAUCCUAUUUUGUUGGCUUCUAGGAUUGACGUA